GCCAGGACGGGGACUUUCUGAAUUAGGACUGGAGGAUAGGCCUCAGCCUGGAGACGGCUGAAUUUCCUGAACCCAGCAUCAGAGCCAACACCGACAAGCUGGCCGCUGGAGUGCAGUAGGUAUUCUGGAAUUGGCGAUGCUGGAUGUACAAACCUUACAAAUAUACUAAAAAUCACUUGCACACUUGAAAAGGGUAAGAUCUAUGAUAUUUAUAGCUCAAAAAGAAUUACAAUGGCAUAAUAUUCUGUGGUGGAAUGAGAAGGCCAUGCCAAGAUGGCCGCAGGCAAUGGAAACUGCCUGGCAACAGGCUGUGAUUGGAUGGCUUCAGGAAUGACAUGGCAACAGAGCCUGCCUGGCAACGAGCUAUGAUUGGAUGGCUUUGAAAACUGCCUGGCAACAGGCUGUGAUUGGUUAGAGCAUAGACCGCCCCUUGACCAGAUUGGCUGCCUUGGCUCUAUAAGCUGCUGUACCAACUAAAAUAAAUGAGUUUUCGGGCUUCUCGCCUCUGGCCUGCUCUCACCCACACCUGGGGUCUGUGUGGUGACUCCACGCCUCUUGCCCCCACCAUGCUCCUCCUCUCAGAAUGGAUCCACAGCAACAUCUGGUGCCCAAGGAAUUGUUAUAAAAACAUGCUAGUGGUGGGCUUCUUUUUAUAGUGCUUGGGGUUUAUAAAUUUCUUUUUACAAAAUUACAUGUCAGUAACUUCUCUUUGUCUAAUUGGGAAGAAAUAUGAAUUUGCAUUCCUAUAACACAAAGAAAUCUAUGGGAAGCAAUAUGUUACUGCCCACCACUACCACCAAAACCAAAAACUGCCAGUUUUAUAUAGUUUUGAAAUUCUUCCCAAAGCCACUUUGUGUCCUCACUGACUCUAUCCAGCCAUCCUAAUGCUUCCCCUGAAUUCUAACCAACCACUUGUGCUUGGGGCAAUCAAAGAUGAAAAUGUCUCUACUUUGGCUUUACUUUUGUAAAAAUUUAUUUUCAUGCCCUAUGAAAGGCAGACAGAGAUGUCCCAUCCAUUGGUUCACUCCCUAAAUGCCCACGACAGGCAUGCUGGGCCAGACUGAAGCCAGGAGUCCAGAACUCAAUGCAGGCCUCCCACAAGGUUGGCAUUAACAGGAAGCUGGAAUCAAAAGUGGAGCCAGGCUGUGGAGUAGUGGAUAAAUCUGCCGCCUGCAGUGCUGGCAUUCUGUAUGGGCUCCGGUUCGAGACCCGGCUGCUCCACUUGUGAUCCAGCUCUCUGCUAUGGCCUGGGAAAGCAGUAGAAGAUGCUCCAAGUCCUUGGGUCCCUGUAUCCACGUGGGAGACCCAGAAGAAGCUCCUGGAUCCAGGAUCCUGGCUUCAGAUCGGCCCAGCUCUGGCCGUUGUAGCCAUCUGGGAGUGAACCAGCAGAUGGAAGACAUCUUUCUCUCUCUCGCUCGCUCUCUCUGCCUCUGAUUCUCUCUAAUGCUCAAAUAAAUACAUUUUUGAAAAAAUCUUAAAAAACAAAAGUAGAGCCAGGCCAUGAACCCAGGCACUCAGAUAUGGGACUCAGACCCUAGUGGCAACUUAACCACCAUACUAAGUGCCUAUCCCCAGAAUUUCCAUUUAGGCUGUGGUGUUGGCCAAAUUCACACUGUUGAAAUGGUGGGUCCCUAAGGAAAGACUGUCCAUUUUUAUUUUCUUUUUGUUAGAGAGGUGGGAGUGGGGGCAGAAGUUGGAGGAGAACUCAUCCGGCUCUCCCGUGUGGGUGGCACUUGAACCAUCCUGAACCGUCCCUGCUGCCUCCCAGGAGCCACGUCAGCAGGAAGGUGGAGUCAGGAAUGAAACCCACUCGCUCUAAUACGGGACAUGGGUGUGUCUUAGCCACGGGCUUCUCAUCUGCCUGAGCGCCAGUUCCGAGAGGGCUAAGCAAGAGCACCAGGUUAGGGGUAAAGACGAGGAAGAACUGGCCUGGGGAAUGGGGUGGAGUCCUUAAGCACAAACUGGGGCGAAACUUCAGCAGGGAGAUCGCAUCUGGGACAGAUGGGAGGACAGAGGUGCAGGCCACCCACCUGCAGCUGAGCUCCAGGGAGAGGGGACAGCCUUUGGUCAGAGAAGCCCCUUCUCAGCGGGGAGGGCGCCAGAGAGGCACACCUGGGGCUCGGCGGUGUGCCCCCGCUGAGCCUUCCCUUCAGAACUCCUGUUUGGACAGACAUUCUCAUGAGCUAACCCCGAAAAGAGUUGGCACAAACCAGCGUCUCCUCUCCUUGCGACGUACGGAAGAGCCCAGGAUUCUCAACACCUGUCUCCCUCGUGCUCCCACUCUUAGCAGCAGGUAGCCAGAGCUGAGAGUCACACCACCCUCCAAGAGUGGGUCCCGCCUGCACACACCCACAUGCACACCAGCUUUAGCCAUGUCCUUUUAUUGAGCCAUUUGUAUGGGAAUGGUGAUCAGGGAGUUGUCACACCCCACCACGGGGCCCUGCCACGGAGGAGGCGGGCUCAGCAGUCACUGGGGCAGUUUCUGGGAUGGUGUCCCAGUGCAGGCCAAUGGCGCUGACGAAUAAGCCAGCUCGGCCACUGAUGAAUCGGAGCACGGCGUCGAUGUCCAAGGGGACAGCGUUGAAGCUCACGCCUGUGCCUUUCCCAAAGGACAGGAUGCGACCGUAGUUGGUGAAAAAGUCCAGGGUCUUCAGAUAGUUACCGUAUGACCCAAAAACCUCGAUCACUGACUCCCCUGGGUGCAGAAAGAUCUCCUCCAGGUCUCCCAGCUUGCCACCCACGUAGUCGCUCCACACCUGGCCAUAGCGCACCUGGAGAC